rnacentral:tRNA from 1 species
GGGCGUUUAGCUCAGCUGGUUCAGAGCUUCUGCCUUACAAGCAGAGGGUCGGCGGUUCGAAUCCGUCAACGCCCA